GAGUGAAACAGGUUGGGGACCUGGGAGUAAGCCCUGUGGCUCCUUGGCGCGUUUAAGACAGAGUCCGGCCUUCCUUCCUUGAGGGAUGUGAGGCAGAUUGAGGAAGGCGCUCUGUAUGUUUUUAACGUCAACAACCAACAUUAACCAGCCUCGUGCCAGGAGUCAACGUGUACUGAUAACACACAGCCGCUAGCCAGUCCAGGUGGGAAAAUAAGGUGAGACUGAUUUCAUUAGAUUAUAUUAGACCUUCAUGCAAAAAAGGAUUUUAAGAUAAAUCACGUAAGUUCGUAGAAUGCAAUGAUACAUGCACUUCUGGACUGUUUUAAAAUAAGGGCAGGAGCCAUAAAAAAGAAUGAAAUAAUGCCAUUUGCAGCAACUUGGAAACGCCUAGAGAUUAUCAUACUAAAUGAAGUAAGGCAGACAAAGGCAAAUACCAUAUGAUACCACUUUUAGGUGGAAUCUAAAAAAAAAAAGACACAAAUGAACUUAUUCAAAAAAAGAAUAGAAAACAAACUUAUGGUUACCUAAGGGGAAAAGGAAGGGGAGGGAUAAAUUAGGAGUAUGGGAUUAACAGAUACACACUAUAUGUAACAUAGAUAAACAACAAGGACCUACUGUGUAGCGCAGGGAACUAUAUUCAGUAGCUUGUAAUAACCUAUAAUGGAAAUACGAAAAAGAAUAGACAUAAUGUGUAACUGAAUCACUUUGCUGUACACCUGAGACUAACACAACAUUGAAAAUCAGCUAUACUUCAGUUUUCAAAAAUAAUCAAAUAAGAGUGGGAAACAAGUUGAAGACAGAUGAGCACUGAAAAGGCUGACUGAUGUUCUGGUACAUGUGGGUCACCAACUGGACUGUGAGCAUCCUAAGACCAGUAGGAAGAGGGAAAUGUCAGUUAUGAUUCACAGUGUUCUUGUCCCCUAAGAGAAGCAUAAUGAUUCCUGAUGCUGGCAGUGCUUUCUCCCCUGGUACUUCGUUGUUGUUUUUUAAGACAGUAUGUAAAGAACCUCAGCAACUCUGAAACAGGGCCGAGGUUUUCCCUGCGUUGCUUCCUGUCCUGGCCUUUGCUGUAAGUGGGUGGUAUGAUGCAGUAAAAGCCAUCAGGAAUGCCACUCCCAAGUCUUUCUUAAUCCAAGGACUGUCUUUUAAAAUACCUUGAACAUUUAUUCAUCUGCUCAAAAUAGCAGUAUAGAAAACCCACUUUCACAACCUCAGAAUUCUGGUCAGAUGACAUAGGAAAUCCUCCCUGGUACACACAGCAGCAAUAGAUUUAAAAAGAGAGAAACCAAAAAGAAAGAACUGGGCUCAAAAACAAGGUAAGCAUCACAGUGGACCAGAAAUGGAAAAAAGAUUUGAUGAGCAGGGCUGAAGCCAUAUCCUACACUUCCCUACAGGGCAGUGGCAGCUGGAAAGUAGGUUCCAGCACAAUAAAAAGUCAUAAAAUUGUGUCAUUGGAGGAACAAAUGAACGAGUCCCUUCUGUGGAGGGACUCGGUCCCUCCAUGAUAACACAGGGCUAACAACUCAGGAAUUUAGAAAAUGAAAAAGCAUAACAGAGUGAUAAAUCCUAAUGUUUCAUUAGACAAACACUUCAGAUAGCCUUCUUGGAGUUUGCUGAAUUAUGGCUCUAAGGACCAGUCUCUCCACCCCUGCUAGGAAUGGAAAGGUCAUCUCUUCUACCUGAAAGUCACAAUCAUCCCUAGGUUUUCAGGUUCCUUAAGAACUUUGCAAACUCACUUCCCCACAGAUGCCACAGCUCCACCUGACCGGAUGAGAACUUUCCAGGCUUGACCUUAGAUACUUCAAGAUGUCGUGGUCUCAGAAGACAUCGUAGGAAAAUGUUGGGGUCAGCCAGUUCUGGCUUAUAAAGAAUGGGGACCACAGUAGGUCACUAUGAAAUGAGAAGCAGGUAAGGUCCCUUCCUGACCCUUGGAUUGAGGAGCACUGAUACCAUUCAUGCCCAGGAAGGGAUACAGGAAGGCAGGUAGAAAGGAAGAAGAAAGAGUCACACAGCAGGCUCUGUUUAUGAUCCCACAUAAAAUGACAGAAAGACUUAAGGAGCUUAGCUUCAUCAUCCGCAGAUAGCAAAGAAAAGGGGAAGGAUGUCAAAAUAAGAUAUCAGGGGAUCUUACUGUAUGUGAACCUGAUUCACAUCCUUUAGUCCCUCACUACUCAAAAGUGUGGUCCUUGAAUGCUUCGGCAUCACCUGGGGAUUUACUAGAAAUGCAGAAUCCCAGGCCUCACCCUAGACCCACUGAAUCAGCAACUGCACUUUAACAAAAUCCCCAAUUCAUUCACGAAGUUCAAGAAACAUUGCCAACGUCCACCUUUGUCAUUCCCUGCAUCUGGGCUGCUCUAGACGCCUUACAAGACUCUUCACAGAUUGUUGUGGAAGUAAAAGAUCACAGACUGGGAAUGUAAAGCAAGACUGUCAUUUAUAAGAACAUCACUGCAGGGAGAAAGGCAUUGCUUAACAGCCAGUGUCUGAAGACCACCUCAGUAACCCAUCAAAAUGAAUGGCUGUCUCUAAGAACAGCCUUCCCAGACUCAGUCUCUAGUCUCUAGCCCUUAGGAGGCAUGCUCUGGAAAUGAUGACUGGGGACAAGGCAGAGUGUAAACCAAAAGACUAUCACUCCCCUAGGGGAUGCUGUCCUGCCCCCCAUUAGAUAGAUGAUUGCUCCUCCCCAGAGGAGGCCUGGUAUACUGACAUUAGCUCUGUCUGAACCUGGAAAGCAUUCAGAAAACUAAUCAGUCAAAUGGCUAGAGCUGGGAAGUUUGCUUUUAAAAUAAAGAAUCCCAGUCUAGGAGGAAGUGUUGCAUAGAUGCUGAAAUUUAAAUAGCUAUAACUAAACAGUUCAUUUUUAGCAGUUAAACUACAUAUUCUCUGUUUUGUAGAUAAAAGAAAUCUAUUUCCUCCACAACGUGUUGGGCUGCAAAUGAUAUUCAGAGAUCCCCAGGGUCUUAAGAACGGCCACCUAUUUGAAAAUAAUAAAUAAUUUAAAAAUAAUUUAAAAAGAAAAAUGCAAUUUUAGACUGACCCGAAACAAAGAAUAGAUUAGAGGCUUGGGCCAUGUCCAGGGCAUCAAAGGGAAGCAAAGUUGUCAUUUAAAUCUUGCUGAUUAGCAAAUGCUCAAGCUAAAGGCAGGGGAAGAGCCAGCCAGCACCACCCCUACCCUUCAUCAGAAGUUAAUUUUGGAAUCCCAAUUUUUAAAAACCUUUAUUCCAAAUAGGAAAAUUUUGUAUUAAAUGCCUUUUAAAUUUCCACAAGUGAUUUGUUAUUGUAUAAUGAAACUAAGAAAUGUAUUAUUCUAAUUGCAUUUUAUUUUAGUAAACUUUAUUUUUGCUUUUGUAAGUUUUAUAUUUAUCAGAAGGACUCUACACCAGAGUUGUCUGUAAUUAAAAAUACAGGUAAUAGUAAAGGCAAGAUGUGUACUGUGGCCCAGGAAUUAAAAGAUGCUUUCACAUAAAACCUUUAGAGCCUGUAGGUGAUAUGUCAUUAUUUCUCAAUUAUGUAAGUAAUAGGGAUCUAUAUCAAAAUAAUAGCUAUCUCCCUGAUCUCCUGCAGUAAAAAGAAACAUAUCAGCUGUUAGUAGGCCAGGGUAACACUACCUGGGAAAAUCACGUGAGUUUAUUCACUAUAAAUCUUGGUAGCACAAUAUGAAACACCUAUUAAAUUGGCGAGAGAACGUUAAUACAUUUUUAAACACAAUCUAAGUUUUAAGAUGGGAUUGAUUAUAGUAAAAACGUAUUUUCCAACUGUAAAAGAUGUUCAUUCUGAUAUUUUCAAAAUCAAAAUAAUAUGCAGAACCAGUUAGUUCGGCUAGAGAUCACACAUGUGUGAAUCUUUUAACUGUGUUUUAAGUGACAGUAAAUGGACAUGAUAGGGGUGAAAUGAAACAUGUACAGGAUGUUGUACACUGUGCUGUUUCAAAAUAGAACAGCAAUGUGGAUGGACCCCCCCCACCUCCAGGAUCUGAAGAGAAGGAACUGCUUGCUAAAUGUUGCCACCUUCUACAAACCAUCAGCUUUUAGAAUACUGGUACCCUCAAGCUGAAAGCACAAUGAAACAGUGGAACUGAACCCCCCAUCAGAUGAAUAUUUAAAGAGCUGAAUGAGAGAUUAUUAGUCACUGGGGGGCUGAGAACCAAGGGGACUGUACAGAAAACCUUGACCUCUAUUCAGUAGCCUUAACGCUCAUAUUUAUAUCAUAUUGUUAUUUUAGAACAAAUUGUCAGAUGGAGCAAAAAGCAGUUUUAUCAGUCAAAAUAAAGAGAAAGGAGAUAAAAUCAAAGAAUCAAAAGAAUUUUAAGUUAGAAUACCUUAAAGUAUUGAAAAUAGUUUAUGUGAACUCAUGUCUUUAAGAAAUGCCUUUUCAAGCCUUGUUCAUUGAUAUGGCCUCACAGUAACUUUACCCCAAAAUGCACCCUAGUGCAGAUACCAGUGUAUGUGCUACUUUUUCCAUUAAGAAGGGGGAAAAAAAAAAGAUUCUUGGAGAAGUGGCUGAUUCAGUGUUAGGAGAGGUUCCUGGUAAGCUGGGACACCUUGUGCCAGCAAGCAGAGAGGCUUCAAAGAAAAAUAGGGUCCUGUCAAAAGGAUGUUGGAGGGGGAGGGUAUAGCUCAGUGGUAGAGUGCAUGCUUGGCAUGCAUGAAGUCCUGAGUUCAAUCCCCAGGACCUCAAUUUAAAAAAUAAAUAAAUAAAUGAACCUAAUUACCUCCCCCCCCAAAAAAUUUGAAAAUAAAUACAUUUUUUAAAAAAGGAUCCUGGAGCCAAUCCUAAGGGACCCCCUACUCGCCAAAUUAGGACAAUUUGAAAUGCGCCAAAGGUAUGAAGAGCUGUGAGUGCAGGACGAUCCACAGUAAAAGGUGGGCUAUUCUAAAAGAAUACAGAAUAAGAUGUUCUGGCUGAGUCUUGUUACUUGGUUAUGUCUGUAUUAUUGAUUCAUGUAUUAUACUGAUGAAGGUCUGUAAAUUGUAAAUUCUUCCUUUAGAAGGCUGUUCCUGACCCAAGGGAGCAUCAGUACUAAGACCCCCUAAGCUGUGAUGCCAAAGCAGAGAGAGCCACUGUUGGCCUCCCUGGCCAUGGUGCCUCGACCAGUCAGGGAAGCAGAAACCACUGACAGGGAUACGAUACUGAGAAUUGGCUACAGACACUCCAAAGGUGCUAACACUCCAAACACGGGGCUCCGGGGGCAACUCAGAGAAUAGAAAUAGCAGAAAGGCACUACCGGCCUGCAAGGAGAUGGAGUGACUUCAGCCUGGGAGCCAGGGGCUCCUGGUGGAAGCCGGAACCUCACAAAUCUGCCCGUGGGAGAUGGAGCCACAGGGAAAGCAGCUGCUGCUGUGGGCACCGCCAGAGCUGGGGAGACGGGAGAGUUCCCCCCGCCUCUCCACGCCUCUGGCCUCCUACCCACCCCUUGGCUGAACCCCGUUGAAAGCCAGACAGCAGGGAGCCUGAAAGAGCCUCCUUCCUCAUGAAUCACUGGAGAGAGGGGACUCAUGGCCGGGGGUGGGAGGAGAUCGGAGGGAAAAGAGGCCAGUAGCCAGCCCCUGUCCUUCUGAAACUCUUCCCUGGAGUUCUUUUUAAAACUCAUUUUCUGUUUCUAUUCCUAUGUUAUGGGCUGAAUUGAAAGGACCCCCUCACAGCCCCACAACAGAAAUUCUUCCACUGAGGUUCUGACCCUCAGCACCUCAGAAUGUGACUCUGUUGGGAAACAGGGCCUUUGUAGUGGUGACAAGAGUAAAAUGAGGUCACGCACGUGGGCUCCAACCCAGCGUGGCUGGAGUCCUCAGGAGACUGUGUGAAGACACAGUGAGAAAAAGGCCACGUACAAGGCAAGGGAGGAGUCCUCAGAAGAAACCAGCUCUGCCAAUACCGUGAUCUUGGACCUCUGGCCUCCAGACUGUCAGUUUCUGCUGUUUAAGCCAGUCUGUGGUCCUUUGUUACGGCAACCAGAGCUGACUCAUACACCCUAGUUCUCAGCACCUCUUCUGUGUCUCUGACCCUUUGAACACAUGGGGCACACUUGAGCCUUUGCCCCCAACUUCUGGCCUCACCUACAUUCUCUUCCUGGGUGGUUCCAUCUGCCCACUCAGUUUCAGUGGCCACCCCUCUGGCCACAAUGCUCAGAUCCUCUGGCCUCGCCCAGGCUCCAGUGCCACAAUCGUGGUUUCUCCGUAUCUCUACUUGGAUAGUCUCUUGGUAUCUCAGAAGCAACAUGAAUAAAACCAGAUGCAUUUUUCUCCCACAGAUUA